GCGGGGAGAGCUCGGUUAGGUAUGAGCAACAGUUUGUGAACCUGAGGGUCGUGGGUUCGAAUCCCAUUCUUCGCC
rnacentral:tRNA from 1 species